UUCCAACUUGACACUCUCGGGGCAUAAUAAAAUAAUAAAAUUUAAUUUUGCACUUUGUUCGGUUGAAUGUGAAAAAGUACUCGUUGCAAAGUUAUACUGUUAGGGCGCAACUGAGUAGUCUAAUGUUCUUCCGAUUUUUGUUCCUGUGAACGUUGACAUCGAUUCGUUACAACUUGACACUCUCGGGGCAUAAUAGAACUAUAUAAUAUGGUUUUAUACUUUGUUCGGAUGAAUGUGAAAAAGUACUCGUUGCAAAGUUAAACUGUUAGGGCGGAACUGAGUAGUCUAAUGUUGUUCCGGUUUUUGUUCUUGUGAACGUUUACAUCGAUUUGUUCGAAAUUUACCCUCGCGGGGCAUAAUAAAAUAAUAUAAUUAGGGUUUCCACUUUGUUCGAUUGAAUGAGAAAAAGUACUCGUUGCAAAGUUAUACUGUUAGGGCGCAAUUGAGUAAUCUAAUGUUGUUCCAGUUUUGGUUCGUGUGAACGUUGACAUCGAUUCGUUCCAACUUCACACUCUCGGGGCAUAAUAGAACAAUAUAAUUUGGUCUCGCACUUUGUUCGGUUAAAUGAGAAAAUGUACUCGUUGCAAAGUUAUACUGUUAGGGCGCAACUGAGUAGUCUAAUGUUGUUCCGGUUUUGGUUCCUGUGAACGUUGACAUCGAUUCGUUCCAACUUAACACUCUCGGGGCAUAAUAAAAUAAUAAAAUUUAAUUUUGCACUUUGUUCGGUUGAAUGUGAAAAAGUACUCGUUGCAAAGUUAUACUGUUAGGGCGCAACUGAGUAGUCUAAUGUUGUUCCGGCUUUGGUUUUUGUGAACGUUGACAUCGAUUUGUUCGAAAUUUACCCUCUCGGGGCAUAAUAGAACAAUAUAAUUUGGUUUUCACUUUGUUCGGUUGAAAGAGAAAAAGUACUCGUUGCAAAGUUAUACUGUUAGGGCUCAACUGAGUAGUCUAAUGUUGUUCCUGUUUUGGUUCUUAUGAAUAAUGGCAUCGAUUCGUUCGAAAUUUACCCUCUCAGGGCAUAAUAGAACAAUAUAUUUAGGUUUUCCACUUGUUCGAUUGAAUGAAAAAAAGUACUCGUUGCAAAAUUAUACUGUUUGGGCGCAAUUGAGUAGUCUAAUGUUGUUCCGAUUUUUGUUCUUGUGAACGUUGAUAUCGAUUCGUUCCAACUUUACACUUUCGGGGCAUAAUAGCACAAUAUAAUUUGGUUUGCACUUUGUUCGGUUAAAUGAGAAAAUGUUUUUCCGGUUUUUGUUCUUGUGAACGUUGACAUCGAUUUGUUCGAAAUUUACCCUCUCGGGGCAUAAUAGAACAAUAUAAUUUGG
rnacentral:lncRNA from 1 species